rnacentral:rRNA from 1 species
UCCCAGCAGUCCAAGUCGCAAUCACAUUUAUUGGGUCUAAAACAUCCGUAGCUCGCUAUCUAAGUCUCUUGUGAAAUCCGGCCUCUUAAGGGUCGAAGUGCAAGGGAUACUGGAUAGCUAGGGACCGGGGGAAGCAGGGGGUACAGUUGGAGUAGCGGUAAAAUGUUUUGAUCCUAACUGGACCAACAACAGCGAAGGCACCCUGCUAUAACGGAUCUGACAGUGAGGGAUGAAGGCUAGGGGCGCAAAGUGG